rnacentral:misc_RNA from 1 species
UUAAGUUCAGCGGGUAUCCCUACCUGAUCCGAGGUCAAAAAUUGAAAGAUAGCUUCUGGGAGCCGAUCCACGGGCCACGAGGACGCAAAUGUGCUGCGCUCGAAGCCUACAAACCGGCCGCCAAUGACUUUAAGGCGAGUGGCCCGGGGGCCACAGUCACCCAACACAAGCAGAGCUUGAAGGUGUAAAUGACGCUCGAA